GGGUGAGGUUAUAUUUGAUAUUGAUAAUAAUUAUUUGAUGUUUUUAACAUUUCGCUAGUCGAGCUGGUGAGAACUGGUCAAAAGAUAAAAUCAAGAUAUGAAGUUUUGUUUACACAAAAGUUUCGUAAAACACCACCAGGCUAUCUUGACUUUUUCAAUGCUUUAUCUGGGUUAUUAGCAUUAAGUGACAACAUGUCCAUUGAGGACAAAUUUCGUGAAUCUUUAAGAUCUAAAUUCGAAUCAGCGAAAAGAAGGAAUAUAAAUCUUAUUUUCU
rnacentral:lncRNA from 1 species